GCCUAACACAUGCAAGUCGAGCGGUAGCACGGGAGAGCUUGCUCUCUGGGUGACGAGCGGCGGACGGGUGAGUAAUGUCUGGGAAACUGCCUGAUGGAGGGGGAUAACUACUGGAAACGGUAGCUAAUACCGCAUGACCUCGCAAGAGCAAAGUGGGGGACCUUCGGGCCUCACGCCAUCGGAUGUGCCCAGAUGGGAUUAGCUAGUAGGUGGGGUAAUGGCUCACCUAGGCGACGAUCCCUAGCUGGUCUGAGAGGAUGACCAGCCACACUGGAACUGAGACACGGUCCAGACUCCUACGGGAGGCAGCAGUGGGGAAUAUUGCACAAUGGGCGCAAGCCUGAUGCAGCCAUGCCGCGUGUGUGAAGAAGGCCUUAGGGUUGUAAAGCACUUUCAGCGAGGAGGAAGGCGUUGCAGUUAAUAGCUGCAGCGAUUGACGUUACUCGCAGAAGAAGCACCGGCUAACUCCGUGCCAGCAGCCGCGGUAAUACGGAGGGUGCAAGCGUUAAUCGGAAUUACUGGGCGUAAAGCGCACGCAGGCGGUUUGUUAAGUCAGAUGUGAAAUCCCCGAGCUUAACUUGGGAACUGCAUUUGAAACUGGCAAGCUAGAGUCUUGUAGAGGGGGGUAGAAUUCCAGGUGUAGCGGUGAAAUGCGUAGAGAUCUGGAGGAAUACCGGUGGCGAAGGCGGCCCCCUGGACAAAGACUGACGCUCAGGUGCGAAAGCGUGGGGAGCAAAC
rnacentral:rRNA from 1 species